GUGUCAGCAGCCGCGGUAAGACAGAGGUGGCAAGCGUUGUUCGGAAUUACUGGGCUUAAAGGGCGAGUAGGCGGUGGAGCAAGUCUGAGGUGGAAUCCUAUGGCUUAACCAUAGAACUGCCUUAGAAACUGCUUUACUUGAGUCAGUGAGGGGAGGGCGGAAUUCCUGGUGUAGCGGUGAAAUGCGUAGAUAUCAGGAGGAAGGCCUGUGGCGAAAGCGGCCCUCUGGCACUGUACUGACGCUGAGGCGCGAAAGCGUGGGGAGCAAACAGGAUUAGAAACCCUUGUAGUCC
rnacentral:rRNA from 1 species